rnacentral:rRNA from 1 species
CCCUAUGGGGUGCCGGAACUGACAAUUGCCUUCAAAGAAUUGGUCAACCGCCAUCUGAAUCUGGAUCCGGUAAUUGUGGGGAACGUGCGUCGCCCGGUCAUCCAUGUCAAUGCCAGCAACCCCAAAGAAGUCGGUCCUGACCUGAUCGCCAACGCGGUAGGCGCGGUAGCGCUAUAUGGAGCACCCUGUAUCAUCCUCGGCUUCGGCACCGCCCCCACUUUUUCGGCAGUCUCAGCCAAAGGAGAGUUCGAAGGGGUGGCGAUUGCUCCCGGUAUGCUCACCGCAGCAGCAUCACUUUUUCAAGCCGGCGCCAUGCUUCCAGCGGUGGACCUGCAUAAACCUGAAAGGGUAAUCGGGAAAAACACCAUUCUCUCACUACAAUCAGGGUUGAUCUACGGUUUUGCCGGACUGGUGGAGGGGUUGGUUGCGCGCAUUCAAAAUGAAUUGGCGGGGGAGC